rnacentral:rRNA from 1 species
GUGGGGAAUUUUGGACAAUGGGCGAAAGCCUGAUCCAGCAAUGCCGCGUGUGUGAAGAAGGCCUUCGGGUUGUAAAGCACUUUUGGCAGGGAAGAAACAGUGCGUGCUAAUACCAUGCGCGAAUGACGGUACCUGCAGAAUAAGCACCGGCUAACUACGUGCCAGCAGCCGCGGUAAUACGUAGGGUGCAAGCGUUAAUCGGAAUUACUGGGCGUAAAGCGUGCGCAGGCGGCUUUGUAAGACGGAUGUGAAAGCCCCGGGCUCAACCUGGGAAGUGCAUUCGUGACUGCAAGGCUAGAGUGUGUCAGAGGGAGGUGGAAUUCCGCGUGUAGCAGUGAAAUGCGUAGAGAUGCGGAGGAACACCGAUGGCGAAGGCAGCCUCCUGGGAUAACACUGACGCUGAGGCACGAAAGCGUGGGGAUCGAACAGGAUUAGAUACCCCAGUAGUCC